GGCUAGCAGUAGGAGGAAGUGCUGCACACAGCCCAGCCAGCCACAGAGCAGCUGCAUCAGGGUGCCGUUUCUAAACUCUGCCUGAUCGGAGCUCAGCCAGCCAGUGGAGGGGUGAGUGCCAGCCAAUGUGGGGACAGCCAACCAAGAUUCUAUUGCUGCUAUUCAGGAACAUUCCAUCUAUUCAGGAACAUACCCUUUUCCAACAAGAGAAUACACUGCAUUGUCCUCAGUUAAUGGUCUCCUUAAAGAUGGCUACCGGGACUGAAAGAAUACCGCUAACAGAAUGGAAGUGAGGUGGACCACAUCACUGGAAGCAAUGUGCGUUCCACGGCAUCACCGUCCUCUGGACAUGUGCAGAGAGGAGCCGGAAGUGGUACUGAAGUGCCACAUACCCAGUACAAAUGAACAUACACAGGCAGUGUGGCGGAAAUGCCACCUUCAAUAAAGAACUGUUAAAAUCUUA